rfam:Canis lupus familiaris chromosome 18, whole genome shotgun sequence.
GCCUGGGUGGCUCAGUGGUUGAGCGUCUGCCUUCAGCUCAGGUCAUGAUCCCGAGGUCCUGGGAUUAAGUCCCACAUCAGGCU